UGAUGCAUAGCCGAGUUGAGAGACUGAUCGGCCACGGUUGGGGACUGAGACACGGGCCCAAAAACUCCUACGGGGAGGCAGCAGUAGGGAAUCUUCCACAAUGGACGAAAGUCUGAUGGAGCAACGCCGCGUGAGUGAAGAAGGUUUUCGGAUCGUAAAAGCUCUGUUGUUGGUGAAGAAGGAUAGAGGUAGUAACUGGCCUUUAUUUGACGGUAAUCAACCAGAAAGUCACGGCUAACUACGUGCCAGCAGCCGCGGUAAU
rnacentral:rRNA from 1 species